rnacentral:rRNA from 1 species
UACGUAGGGUGCAAGCGUUGUCCGGAAUUAUUGGUCGUAAAGAGCUCGUAGGCGGUUCGUCGCGUCGGCUGUGAAAUCCCGAGGCUCAACCUCGGGUCUGCAGUCGAUACGGGCGGACUGGAGUUCGGCAGGGGAGACUGGAAUUCCUGGUGUAGCGGUGAAAUGCGCAGAUAUCAGGAGGAACACCGGUGGCGAAGGCGGGUCUCUGGGCCGAUACUGACGCUGAGGAGCGAAAGCGUGGGGAGCGAACAGG